GCGUGGAUGCUUGACGGCAACGGAUGCGAGUGUCAGACAGCAGGUGGAAACUGACAGAAAGCGAACCGACCACAAAAUCUACAGCACAUUUGAUGAGGAAAAACAUGAAUUAUCAGUGACCUGGUCGGUUCUGAAUGCACGGGACUCGAUAGUGCAAACCAUGGUGGACCCUCUGGAACCUGAUGACCAGAGCAAAUUCAGAGGGCCCGGGUUUGAAACCCCUACUGCAGCCUCUGAAGCCCCUCCUCUACCUGAUACAGGUGAUGGCAGCGAGAAAGAUGUUAGUCUGGAUCCCUGCCCACAGACAGAGGUCAAUUCUGAGCCUGUACCAAGCCCUCAGGACCUAUGUCAACAACACAGUCAACCGGAAGAGCAAAAACUACAUCUGGAUCUUUAUAAUUUUGAUACUCCAGCAGCAGAAGGCAGUCGGUAUGUACUAACAAGCCCUCGCUCACUUGAGGCAUGCGCACGCUGUGGAGUGAAACCUGUGGAACUUCUGCCACGUCCACUGUCGGAUUUUGCCCGGGAGGCACCAGGACGCAGCAUGCGUGUCGCCACAGGAAUGUUCGAGAUAUACGAGAGAGAUAGACAUGCUAAACUUCGACAGUGCAGGGAAGAGAGAGAGCGGAUUAUCAGAGAAGAGAAGAGACGAAUUCUGCAGGCUGCUAUCAACAAUAAUAGUAGUCCACUGGGUUCAGAGAAGUCAAAGGAAACUGUAAAUGCUGGAUUGUCUGAGCAGAACAAUAACAGUUUAACAACUUCUAACCCAGCCCCCCAAAAGCUAUCUGCUUGCACUGGUGUACCCAAAAAGAAAACCGUAAUAUCUAAAAGCACAACACAAGAACAAGGACAGUUAACAAAAGUGUCCACAUCCAGCUCUCCUCCUGUCUCAAAACCUAGUACAGUAAACAUUGCUAAUACUGCUAAAGUAACUUCUGCAAAAAAAUCCAAGUCCCUCGAAACUGAAUCUGAUAAAAAAACUCAAGGAGCAAAGGCUUCAGUAAUCCAAAGGUCAGUACAGUCUGAUCCAGCAGGUCAGGGCCCCAAGAGACUCUCCAGUACUCCCACAAAAGCUGCAAAUACUUUCCCCAGAUCAAUACCUAAACCCUCCUCUUUUCCAAGAACAGCGACUUCACUUGCUCCAGUAGUGUCAAAAUCUGCUAUCCAAAGUCCAGCCAAUGGCAUCACCAGUCCAUUUGCACAGCACAACGGACACAUUCUUUCCAAAUCAAGGGUUAGAUGCAGAAGCCACUCUCUAGAGUCUUUGCAAAGGAGACGAGAAAAAUGUUGCUCCUCUACUGCUUCAACAACUAACACUACAACUACCACAUGUACCUCUUCAGAAUCUGCUUCCUCGUCCUAUAGCUGGGAUGGGACAAGAGAUCACUGGGAUAAGACAUCAAGCCCUCGUGCCCGCACUUUAGCCACCUUUAACUCCUUGAUGGGUCGCAGUCUGAGCUUGGGAGACCUUAGUCACUCUUUACAGACAACUCAAAAAGUGGAACGCAUUGUAAAGGAGGUCAAACGCAGGGGACUUAAAGCUGUUCCCGAACGUGACCGAAAGAUUGCUGCAUUAAUGCUAGCCAAGUACCAAGAGGAGGACAUAAUGAGCCAGACGCGCUACGUAGCACAUCUGCAAUGGGACAGCGAGCGGCGACUAGAGGAGCUACGACGAGAACGUGAAGACCGUGAGAAACAGAGAGCUGUACAGCAGUGUCAACGAGCUUGGCAGUCACAAGUUUCUACCCGGCAGCGCUGGCUCAACCAGCAGGAGCGAGAGGCCACGGAGGCAAAACUUCGUCAAGUGGCGGAAAGUGAGGAACGUUGGCGAGAGCUGGCCGAGCAACAAGAGCGCAGCAGGCUGCAGAAGCUGCAACAGGCCACUCGUGAGGAAAAACACAAGAAGGCACUGCAGGAGCAGAACCUCAAAUCUCUGGAGGAGGAGCGAUCUGCUACACUUGAGCAGGAGAAACUUCUCCUGAAGGAGAAACUGACCAUCGCCGAGCUGAAGCGUCAGGAACGAGAGCACCAAAUCCAAGAGGAGCGUCGCGGACUCAACCGCGCUGAAAAGAGACGACACGCAGCUCUCAUUCAAGAAAUUGCACGACGUGAAGUGGACGAGCGAGAGGAAGCGAGGAGAAUUGCAGAACAGAAGCUGAACAGGUCCCAGGAGAACUAUGAACAGAUACAGGAACGGCGUGGGCAAGAGUUAAAGGAGAAAGCUAAGCGAGAAGAGAAGCAGAUCCAGAAAGCACGGCGGGCCGCCGAGUCACGUGAACAGCAGCAGAAGGAGCAGACAGAGGCAAAGGCUAAAGAAGCUGAAAAACGAGCACAACAAGCUGCACAAAUAGCCGAAGAGCGGGCACGGGAGAAGGCCCAACGCGCAGUGCAGAGCAGACAAGAGAAGGAACGACUUCAAAGGCUUAACCGUCAGCGUGUAGAGGAGGAGGAAAAACAGAGGCGACUCGAAUUGCUGCAGUCUAUCGAACGCAAACUGGAAAAAAGUGAACAGAUUUUCAGAGAAAAGCGAGCGGUGUUGGAAAGUGCCCGGUUGGUGGCACGCGCCUCUUUCCACGUGCGGGAUCGCGUUCGCGAAGAGACUAAUAUGCGCACCUUUGACAAGAUGGCCCUGGAGGCUCAGUUAAAAGCAAACUUAAUUGAGAAGUGAGCACUUUAGCAGUGAAACGUUCACUCUUUUCGUGCACAUAUGUUUAGAAAUAAGCUGUGCUUCAGCCUACAUGCUUGCCUCAUCCCUAGACUACAACAAGACGGUCAUGCCCUCAAGUGUUGUACAGAGAUUCAUAUAUUUAUUCCUUUAAUCCUGAUGCUGGAUCAUUUUCAUCAUCUCAUUUAAAGAUUUGUUUUCUGUAUUUUUAUCAUUUAAAUGUUAUAUGAAGACCUUUCUGCUUAUGUGUGAAUGGUCUUAUGUUGGGCAUGAUUGUUUUCGUAACUUGGCAAGCGUGUUGCAUUGAGAACUGUACAGUAUAUAAAGAGUUCAUUGUUUACAAGCAAGCUUGGCACUAUGGCAACAGUGAAUGCUCUCUAUAGUGGCAGUGAAGAAGCAGAGGGGAUAGGGUUCUUUAACAAAAAUAAAUUGUUUGUGGGAGACUCCUGUUCUCCUGAAUCUACUGUAUCUGUAGGCUGCAGUAGGGUGAGCCCUGACUUGACAGUCUGUAAACCAGACUAGUGAAAUGCUGAAUAAGCGUUACACCCUAGAAUAAGAACAUGUCAACAAAUUAUGUCAGUACAGUGUAACUGCUGAUAAAGCACAGGAGUCUUUGGUCAGCAACAGAACCGUCAGUUCACAAAAUCACACUGACAUCCCCUGCAUUCCUUCAGGUUUGGCAGUGACGAAGGUGGUGUUGACAUCUGAGGGCCGAUUCAGUUUAAUAACCCCUCAUAGACUGCAAAUGACAUUUCACUUUGAUCACAGGCCCUAAUUCCCUUGUGGCAAUGACUCAGCUAUGCAUGACGUAAUUGGAAGUGUUAAUAACACUGAAGCCAUUUUACCUCCAGCAUCUCCAAAUAAACAUAUCAACACCCUUUUUUAAGAGCAUAAAAGGCCCAAAUAAGUCAUGUCAUGUACAUUUAUGUAUCACUGAAUAAAUUAGAGGGCUUUUAAAAAUGAGAAUGAAACAGUGAUGCCGAUUAAUCAGUAAUGAUCAACAAUUCCUGCCUAGGUUUUAUUACUCAUCAUCUCAAGGUUGUAGUGGAACCUUAACAGGUUCAUGCAUGAAUCAUAUUUUUUUUACAUCUACCAAUGACUAAGAAAUAGUAAACUACAGGUUUAUAACACAAUGAUUGAUUAAGGGUUAGAAGAUUAAGACCUGUAUGCUGUAGGUCUUAUGCUAAAUGUCUGCAUACUGAUUUUAGCUGUAAACUUUGCCAGCCAUGCCAUGAUGAUUGUAGCAUUCUUAGUUGGAGUGUAAAAGUUUUAUCAAAGAUUUUACAUUAUGGUUUAUGUAUUUUAGUUUGGUUUGGUUAAUUAUCAUCACCAUUAAAAUGUUUUCUGAUGGCAAAAAGCGCUGUUUUUUACCAAGCAGCUUGGUAAAAAGGACUUGCAGGUUGAAAUUUGAAGAUGGCGGAAUAAAAACA